rnacentral:misc_RNA from 1 species
UACGGAGGAUCCAAGCGUUAUCCGGAUUCAUUGGGUUUAAAGGGUGCGUAGGCGGGAUGAUAAGUCAGUGGUGAAAUCUCUCGGCUUAACCGAGAAACUGCCAUUGAUACUGUCAAUCUUGAGUACAUUUGAUGUGGGCGGAAUGUGUCAUGUAGCGGUGAAAUGCUUAGAUAUGACACAGAACACCGAUUGCGAAGGCAGCUCACAAAACUGUAACUGACGCUGAGGCACGAAAGCGUGGGUAUCAAACAGG